UUAAUAAACCGCCACCUGUUCUUUGUGAAGAUCUCCAUGGAUGCGAUCUCCAAAGCACGACAUACCCUUGUUAUGGUGUCCCAGACCGCCUCCUUCUGAAGCAAGGCCCGCAAUCGGAUCCAGUGUGUGGUCCUAAAAAAGAUCUGCAAACAAGAUUGUGUGCAUACUUUAUCAAAAACUACAUUAUUUGUGCUAAGCCAAAUGACCCAGCAACCGCACUUAUACCCAUCAAGAUGAGGCUUUU
rnacentral:lncRNA from 1 species